AUGUCUUCUUCUAAUCCCAAUAUGCAAAGUACAAUUUUGGUCUAUUUCCUUGUGGAAUUGGGGGAUUUAGCAGUCGGUUUCAAGAAAAAGAUCUACAGUGUCAUAUAUCCAAGGAAUGGUAGCCUGGCUCAGGGCCCAGGAGAAGGAGUGUCAAGGGCCAGCAGCUGGUCAGACGUAGCCUCCUGCGGGGUCUCCCUGAAGAUGGAAAAAUGCAGCAAAAGAAGAAAGGGUAAGAGUACACCAUGGUCUAAUUAGCAUUUGCUUCUUGUGGCCCUGGAAAUGUCAGUCACCAGUUGGUAGCAAAAUAAAGAUAUAAUGUUAGUGAUAAUGAAUUAAAUU
rnacentral:lncRNA from 1 species